rnacentral:rRNA from 1 species
AUUGAACGCUGGCGGAAUGCUUUACACAUGCAAGUCGAACGGCAGCACGGGGGCAACCCUGGUGGCGAGUGGCGAACGGGUGAGUAAUACAUCGGAACGUGCCCAGUCGUGGGGGAUAACUACGCGAAAGCGUAGCUAAUACCGCAUGAGAUCUGUGGAUGAAAGCGGGGGACCUUUGGGCCUCGCGCGAUUGGAGCGGCCGAUGGCAGAUUAGGUAGUUGGUGGGGUAAAGGCUCACCAAGCCGACGAUCUGUAGCUGGUCUGAGAGGACGACCAGCCACACUGGGACUGAGACACGGCCCAGACUCCUACGGGAGGCAGCAGUGGGGAAUUUUGGACAAUGGGCGCAAGCCUGAUCCAGCCAUUCCGCGUGCAGGAUGAAGGCCCUCGGGUUGUAAACUGCUUUUGUACGGAACGAAAAGGCUCUGGUUAAUACCUGGAGCUGAUGACGGUACCGUAAGAAUAAGCACCGGCUAACUACGUGCCAGCCGCCGCGGUAAGAC